rnacentral:rRNA from 1 species
AUUGAACGCUGGCGGCAGGCCUAACACAUGCAAGUCGAGCGAGCGGCGGACGGGUGAGUAAUGUAUGGGAAACUGCCCGAUGGAGGGGGAUAACUACUGGAAACGGUAGCUAAUACCGCAUACUAUCGGAUGUGCCCAGAUGGGAUUAGCUAGUAGGUGGGGUAAAGGCUCACCAAGGCAACGAUCCAUAGCUGGCCUGAGAGGAUGACCAGCCACACUGGGACUGAGACACGGCCCAGACUCCUACGGGAGGCAGCAGUGGGGAAUCUUGCGCAAUGGGCGAAAGCCUGAUGCAGCCAUGCCGCGUGAAUGAUGAAGGCCUUAGGGUUGUAAAGUACUUUUAUUAGGGAAGCGGUACCUGCAGAAGAAGCAACGGCUAACUACGUGCCAGCAGCCGCGGUAAUAC